AUUAAACGCUGGCGGCAUGCUUUACACAUGCAAGUCGAACGGUAACAGGUCUUCGGAUGCUGACGAGUGGCGAACGGGUGAGUAAUACAUCGGAACGUGCCUAGUAGUGGGGGAUAACUACUCGAAAGAGUAGCUAAUACCGCAUGAGAUCUACGGAUGAAAGCAGGGGACCUUCGGGCCUUGUGCUACUAGAGCGGCUGAUGGCAGAUUAGGUAGUUGGUGGGGUAAAGGCUUACCAAGCCUGCGAUCUGUAGCUGGUCUGAGAGGACGACCAGCCACACUGGGACUGAGACACGGCCCAGACUCCUACGGGAGGCAGCAGUGGGGAAUUUUGGACAAUGGGCGAAAGCCUGAUCCAGCAAUGCCGCGUGCAGGAUGAAGGCCCUCGGGUUGUAAACUGCUUUUGUACGGAACGAAAAGCCUGGGGCUAAUAUCCCCGGGUCAUGACGGUACCGUAAGAAUAAGCACCGGCUAACUACGUGCCAGCAGCCGCGGUAAUACGUAGGGUGCAAGCGUUAAUCGGAAUCACUGGGCGUAAAGCGUGCGCAGGCGGUUUUGUAAGACAGUGGUGAAAUCCCCGGGCUCAACCUGGGAACUGCCAUUGUGACUGCAAGGCUAGAGUGCGGCAGAGGGGGAUGGAAUUCCGCGUGUAGCAGUGAAAUGCGUAGAUAUGCGGAGGAACACCGAUGGCGAAGGCAAUCCCCUGGGCCUGCACUGACGCUCAUGCACGAAAGCGUGGGGAGCAAACAGGAUUAGAUACCCUGGUAGUCCACGCCCUAAACGAUGUCAACUGGUUGUUG
rnacentral:rRNA from 1 species